AUGCUACUGUGGCUCAGGGGUAGAGCAGCUCACUCGUAAUGAGCAGGUCGCCGGUUGUCCAUAAGGUCAGGUAUU
rnacentral:tRNA from 1 species